GAUUCCCCGCCCCGUUCCCUGGACUCGGGCGCUCGCCGCGAUGCCCCGCCCCACUCCUCACGCCCUGAAUGCAGGGCGCUAGCUGCUACUCGGUGGCUCAAGCACCGUCCCGGUUCUCUGCCCGCCCCUCUCCCGGGACACUGCGCACGCACCACAGAGCCGCGCCCCUCGCCUCACCCCGCCACCGGGACGCAGAGCGUCCGCCGCCGCGUUUCCGGCGGCAUCUCGCUGUCAUCACCGCGGCUUGCGCGCCCUUGUAGACAGCCCGGGCCUUCGUGAGACCGAUGCAGGCCUGGGGUAGUCUCCUGUCUGGACUGAGAAGAGAAUGGAGAAGAGCCCCUUCCCAUUAGUGCCUUUGCAUUGGUUUGGCUUUGGCUACACAGCAUUAGUUGUUUCGGUGGGAUCGU